rnacentral:rRNA from 1 species
UACAGAGGGGGCAAGCGUUAUUCGGAAUUAUUGGGCGUAAAGGGCGCGUAGGCGGUUUUUUAAGUCGGAUGUGCAAUCCCUGGGCUCAACCUAGGAACUGCAUCCGAGACUGGAAGGCUAGAGUAUGGCAGAGGGGGGUAGAAUUCCACGUGUAGCAGUGAAAUGCGUAGAUAUGUGGAGGAAUACCGAUGGCGAAGGCAGCCCCCUGGGUCAAUACUGACGCUCACGCACGAAAGCGUGGGGAGCAAACAGG